rnacentral:rRNA from 1 species
UACGAGGGGUGCAAGCGUUGCUCGGAAUUAUUGGGCGUAAAGGGUAGGUAGGUGGUCUCAUUUGUCUGGGGUGAAAUCCUUGAGCUUAACUCAAGAAGUGCCCCAGAAACGGUGAGACUUGAGUACUGGAGAGGGUCGUGGAAUUCCCGGUGUAGCGGUGAAAUGCGUAGAUAUCAGGAGGAACACCGGUGGCGAAGGCGCCUAUCUGGCCCGAUACUGACGCUGAGGCGCGAAAGCUAGGGGAGCAAACGGG